GUAAUCUUGUGAAACUCUGUCGUGCUGGGGAUAGAGCAUUGCAAUUAUUGCUCUUCAACGAGGAAUCCCUAGUAAGCGCAAGUCAUCAGCUUGCGUUGAUUACGUCCCUGCCCUUUGUACACACCGCCCGUCGCUACUACCGAUUGAAUGGUUCAGUGAGGCUUUCGGACUGGCCCAGGGAGGUCGGCAACGACCACCCAGGGCCGGAAAGUUAUCCAAACUCGAUCAUUUAGAGGAAGUAAAAGUCGUAACAAGGUCUCCGUUGGUGAACCAGCGGAGGGAUCAUU
rnacentral:rRNA from 3 species